CACGACUACUGUUUCGCCUCUCGCGCAAAAUUGAAAGUCUCCGGCCGACGGAGUUGGCUUUUCUAGCCACCGUCGGUCCGGUUUUUGCUUUUUUUUCUUUUAUGUACAUGUGUAUAUCUAUAUCGGCUCGACUUUUUGGCUCCGGGAGAAGAAGGUUGCUACAACCGCUUCAUCGCCGGCUAAUGACUCCGGGAGGCAGAAGCUCUUUCAGUUCUGCGUCGCCGGCUUCCGACCACAGACCAGUCGUCUUUGUUCUGUUGAAGAUGAUGGGUGAUGUCGAUGGGUUAAUGGAGAAAGCGGAUGAGAUCUCGUCAGUGGGACGAUUGUUUCUCUCCGCAGAGUGGUGAGGGGCUUGAUGUGAAGCUCUCUUCUUCUGAGUUUGUGUCACAUGGCGUUGGACGAGAUCUCGAAUAGAUCGAUGCAUGCUCUCCGAUCGUCGAA
rnacentral:lncRNA from 1 species